GGAGUUAGCCGGUUGCUUCUUCUGUGAGUGAUGUCCUUCCUGCCGGCUAUUAACCCGCAGGCCUUCUUCCUCACUGAAAGUGCUUUACAACCCGAAGGCCUUCUUCACACACGCGGCAUGGCUGGAUCAGGGUUGCCCCCAUUGUCCAAUAUUCCCCACUGCUGCCUCCCGUAGGAGUCUGGGCCGUGUCUCAGUCCCAGUGUGGCUGAUCAUCCUCUCAGACCAGCUACGGAUCGUCGCCUUGGUGAGCCGUUACCUCACCAACCAGCUAAUCCGACAUAGGCUCAUCCGAUAGCGCGAGGCCCGAAGGUCCCCCGCUUUCCCCCGUAGGGCGUAUGCGGUAUUAGCCUGGGUUUCCCCAGGUUAUCCCCCACUACCCGGGCAGAUUCCUAUGCAUUACUCACCCGUCCGCCGCUCGCCACCAGGGAGCAAGCUCCCCGUGCUGCCGCUCGACUUGCAUGUGUUAGGCCUGCCGCCAGCGUUCAAUCUGAGCCAGGAUCAAACUCUGA
rnacentral:rRNA from 1 species